UUGCUCGUCAUCAUCAGAUUCAGGCCUGCCGCCUAGGGUUUGCUUCUUUGAUUGUAUUGUUGUCCGCUAAUGGCUUCCCUAUUCAGAAGGGCUGGUAGGGCUUUGCUGGGAACACAAAUCAGGGGAUACUGCCAGAAUGCUGAAUCCACUUCUGAAGCUGAACUCGAUCGCUCAUUUCGUCGUACCUGUAAAUGGUUUCUUGCUGGGGCCUUUACGGCUUGUAAUGUCAUCUAUUGCACGAUUCACACUCAACUGAUUAUAAUCCGGGAAGAGGAGAGUGAGUUUGAUUAGCAUUGGAGUUGGGACUCUCGUUAUUGAAUUGGUUUUAGUAGAGUAUGUGCAUAUUUUAUCAGCCUUUUGGUUAAGAUCCAACUGUAAUGUCUACUUAUACGUAUCUAUGAAGAUGUUAAGUUGAUUGGAAUUUCCUACAGUUUAUUGGAAUGUGGAAGGAACUGAAUUUCGUUGUCUUCAUGAUAUGUUUGUCUUGUGGUCAUCAGUGGUAUCCUUUUUUAAAAAUUUAUGUUUGAAUAAGCAUGAUGACAAUAUUACUCAGA